AGCUCAGGUUCCUUAGCUAUGAUAAACGGCUAAAAAGCCACCAAGUUGCUGAUGGCGUUGGAAUCUCUCUGUCUGGGAACAAAAGGAGGAAGCCUGAUUCUGCGAUUUUCCAAAAGAAUAAAGCAUUCAGGACCCGCCACUAGGUCUCCAGCACCGAGGACAGCGCUCAGGCAGUCCAGCCCUCUCUAUAGGCAGCCAGGCACUAAUUGAGAUCAGGACCUGGACCAGGAGGAAGAGGGCGAGAAACCAGACAACAGACAUCAGGAAGCAAGGGUGGAUAGAUGGGCGGAUCUUCUUCCUCUCCACCACGAAGCUCUUCCUCUCUUCAGACCCAGAAACAGCCAAGCGUCUAUGGACUGAGACCUCUGAAACUAUGAUCCAAGAUAGAACUUUAAGUUGAUAUUUCUCAGGCAUUUUGUCAGAGUGGCAGAAACUUGACACCAGCCAUCCAAGUUGAGCAAAGGAUACCAGCUGCAGCAAUGGCUCUGGUUCUAUCAUGGUGUUGAUGCCUUGGGGAGACCUCUGCCCUUUUCUGUCUCCAUUGAUGCAAGUAGAUACUGGCCUAGAGACUUCUGAUGCUAAGCAACAAUUUGCUGCCUUUUCAUCAUCACAGUUGAGUGACAAGCCUCUGUGUCUACACCAGCCUUCAUCUCCUUGCGUGUUCUGCAGAUGGCCACGAGAAACAGACUAAGAUGGAUGGGAUCUGAUGAUCUUGCAUGUAGAACAUCUGAGUCAUGAUCUGGAUGACAGGACUGGUGGAUGGACGCCUUUAGGACAAGGGACUGAAGUCAUCCUCCAACAACAGAGAUUGGAACAGAUAACCCACCAUGUGGCAGCAAUUACCUAGGCAAGGCCCUACCCUGGAGCGGGAGCAGAAAUCUUCAGGGAUGAAAGUGAUAAAGACUUCUUCAACUUGCCUCAAAGAACCAGAACUGAGACAAUGGCCUUUCGUGACUGCUUAAUUAUGCAUCCAUCUUCACCUUAACCCAACCCAUGCUCUAUUUAAA